rnacentral:miRNA from 1 species
GAAUCCACGGGAUUGAGUUUG